rnacentral:rRNA from 1 species
UGGGGAAUUUUGGACAAUGGGCGAAAGCCUGAUCCAGCAAUGCCGCGUGUGUGAAGAAGGCCUUCGAGUUGUAAAGCACUUUUGUCCGGAAAGAAAUCCUUGGCUCUAAUACAGUCGGGGGAUGACGGUACCGGAAGAAUAAGCACCGGCUAACUACGUGCCAGCAGCCGCGGUAAUACGUAGGGUGCAAGCGUUAAUCGGAAUUACUGGGCGUAAAGCGUGCGCAGGCGGUUUGCUAAGACCGAUGUGAAAUCCCCGGGCUCAACCUGGGAACUGCAUUGGUGACUGGCAGGCUAGAGUAUGGCAGAGGGGGGUAGAAUUCCACGUGUAGCAGUGAAAUGCGUAGAGAUGUGGAGGAAUACCGAUGGCGAAGGCAGCCCCCUGGGCCAAUACUGACGCUCAUGCACGAAAGCGUGGGGAGCAAACAGGAUUAGAUACCCUGGUAGUCCACGCCCUAAACGAUGUCAACUAGUUGUUAGGGAUUCAUUUCCUUAGUAACGUAGCUAACGCGUGAAGUUGACCGCCUGGGGAGUACGGUCGCAAGAUUAAAACUCAAAUGAAUUGACGGGGUCAUAGCUGUUUCCUG